AGAGUUUGAUCAUGGCUCAGAAUGAACGUUGGCGGCGUGGAUUAGGCAUGCAAGUCGAGCGAGAACUUUCCUUCGGGAAGGGGACAGCGGCGAACGGGGUAGGAUCACGCAGGUGACGUACCCCCAGGACAGGGAUAGCCACGGGAAACUGUGGGUAAUACCCGAUGAUCUCUUUGCUAGUGAUUAGUGAAGAGCAAACGUGUGAAUCGGCCUGGGGAGCGGCUUGCGCGCUAUUAGCUUGUUGGUGGGGUAACGGCCUACCAAGGCGACGAUGGCUAGGGGGUGUGAGAGCAUGGCCCCCACCACUGGGACUGAGACACUGCCCAGACACCUACGGGUGGCUGCAGUCGAGAAUCUUCGGCAAUGGGCGAAAGCCUGACCGAGCGACGCCGCGUGCGGGAUGAAGGCCUUCGGGUUGUAAACCGCUUUCGGAGGGGAUGAAGUGUAUGGGGGUACUCCCCUUUACUUGACAGAGCCUCAAAAGAAGCACGGGCUAAGUUCGUGCCAGCAGCCGCGGUAAUUC
rnacentral:rRNA from 1 species